rnacentral:rRNA from 1 species
ACUCAAAGGAAUUGACGGGGGCCCGCACAAGCGGUGGAGCAUGUGGUUUAAUUCGACGCAACGCGCAGAACCUUACCAGGGUUUGACAUCCUGAGACCGCUCCUGAAAGGGAGUUUUCCCGCAAGGGACUCAGAGACAGGUGCUGCAUGGCUGUCGUCAGCUCGUGUCGUGAGAUGUUGGGUUAAGUCCCGCAACGAGCGCAACCCUCGCCUUUAGUUGCCAUCAUUAAGUUGGGCACUCUAGAGGGACCGCCGGCGACAAGCCGGAGGAAGGUGGGGAUGACGUCAAGUCCUCAUGGCCCUUACACCCUGGGCUACACACGUGCUACAAUGGCGGUGACAGUGAGCAGCUAGUUCGCGAGAACGUGCUAAUCUCUAAAAACCGUCCCAGUUCAGAUUGCACUCUGCAACUCGAGUGCAUGAAGGUGGAAUCGCUAGUAAUCGCAGAACAGCAGGCUGCGGUGAAUACGUUCCCGGGCCUUGUACACACCGCCCGU